rnacentral:rRNA from 1 species
GGAAUUUUCCGCAAUGGGCGAAAGCCUGACGGAGCAACGCCGCGUGAGGGAUGAAGGCCUCUGGGCUGUAAACCUCUUUUAUCAAGGAAGAAGAUCUGACGGUACUUGAUGAAUAAGCCACGGCUAAUUCCGUGCCAGCAGCCGCGGUAAUACGGGAGUAGCAAGCGUUAUCCGGAAUUAUUGGGCGUAAAGCGUCCGCAGGCGGUCUUGUAAGUCUGUCGUUAAAGCGUGGAGCUUAACUCCAUUUAAGCGAUGGAAACCGCAAGACUAGAGUGUGGUAGGGGCAGAGGGAAUUCCCGGUGUAGCGGUGAAAUGCGUAGAUAUCGGGAAGAACACCAGUGGCGAAGGCGCUCUGCUGGGCCAUAACUGACGCUCAUGGACGAAAGCCAGGGGAGCGAAAGGGAUUAGAUACCCCUGUAGUC